GUGAGAGGAGGCAGUGAGUGAGAUGGGUUAUUAGACAGGGGAGUGGGCCUUGACAGAGCCAAGGAGUAGGCAGGUAGAGUUAAAGAAUUAGAGGUGGGUAAUUUAGGAAUGGGGUGUAAAAGGGGUGGAGAAGAAAGGAGUAUAUUAAGCGGCCAUUUUAGCAAGUGGCCAUUUUAAUCAGAAUCUGCACUUACCUGUUAAUUGUCUUUGGCAGGUCUGUGUGGGUUCCUCUUCUUUCUUUUUCAGAUCAUGGCAUCGCUGGACGAGAUCUUGGAAGGUGUGAGAGCAGCCGUGCGGGACAGAGGGAUGGCCUGGCUUCAUCAACAACUGGGGGCUCCUCGUACUGCCGUUAACCCCCCUGUGGCUGCGGAGCGGUGUCCGGUGAGGAGGGCGAAACCGCCCCAGCGGCUGAGUCUGGGCGUGAUGCCUUAAAGGACCACUAUAGUGCCAGGAAAACAUACUCAUUUUCCUGGCACUAUAGUGCCCUGAGGGUGCCCCCACCCUCAGGGUCCCCAUGCCGCCCGGCUCUGGAAAGGGGUUAAAACUUACCUUUUUCCAGCGCUGGGCGGGGAGCUCUCCUCCUCCGAUCCUCCUCUUCUCCUCCCUGUCGGCUGAAUGCGCACGCGCGGCAAGAGCUGCGCGCGCAUUCAGCCGGUCACAUAGGAAAGCAUUCAUAAUGCUUUCCUAUGGACGCUGGCAUGCUCUCACUGUGAAAAUCACAGUGAGAAGCACGCAAGCGCCUCUAGCGGCUCUCAAUGAGACAGCCACUAGAGGAUUAGGGGGAAGACUUAACCCAUUCAUAAACAUAGCAGUUUCUCUGAAACUGCUAUGUUUAUGAAAAAAUGGGCUAACCCUAGCUGGACCUGGCACCCAGACCACUUCAUUAAGCUGAAGUGGUCUGGGUGCCUAGAGUGGUCCUUUAAGCACGAAGACGUCGGAGCCCGUCAGCAGAUGCCGGUGGGGCCCUGGCUGCGGAUGCGGGCCAGGCGGCAUUGGCAGAUCGGGGGGGGGGCAACGGGGCACAAGCCCCCCCCCCCCGAGAUUCUCCCCUGCCAGUUGAUGCAGGGCUGGCAUUGUCCAAGUGCCAGCCCUGCUAUGUGCCUGCGGACCGGGGAGGGAGAUCAGAGAGGGAGGAGAGAGGACCCGGGAGCUCAGCCUGCAGCUCCUCCGGGUCCUCCUCUCGCAAGAUUUGGAGCGUUGCCGCGGUUACCAUGGCAACGCUCCAAAUCUCGCGAGAGUGAACUCUAGCCCUGGAGCUGCGGGCUAGAGUUCACCUCACCACCACUGGGCCACCAGGGAAUCCCCACCGGACCACCAGGGAUCCAGAAAUGUCCCCCCU